rnacentral:lncRNA from 1 species
UUCAACAAGUACCCAACAGAAGGGCCUCUCUCAAAUGUGCAUUAUGUGAGUCCAUUUUAGCCAAGUGAAGAAAAUUGAAUCUUCAACAUGGAAGAAUAGUUUUGACAGUAGCCCUGGAAAAAACACUGGGUCUUGGAUACUCCAUCAAAUAAAUCACCUUGGAGCCAGAGCUGGAUUCCCCAAGUGAAGAUUGUGCUGCUUAUAAAACUUCUCUUCUCGUCCUCAGAAGGACAGUAGGCUGGCAGAAACCCUCACGUUCCAGGAGUGCGAAUCAGACAUAUCGAGGCGUGUCCAUCCCCCAGUGGGAGCGGAAGGCAAGCAGAUUCACUUCCCAGAUGGCUGGUUUUGGAAAAAGUAACUGGCUGCUCCCCAAGCCCUUUCCUGAUCUGGCCUUGGCUCUGGGGACCAGGGUUGAAGCUGCUCCUCUGAGAAAUGCAUUUGCCCUUUGGUUGCAAAACAUCUCCAAGUGAUUGAUGAACCCAUCCCAGGCAAGAAAGGAAUGUCACCAGCCUCUGAAAUACAGCCACCUCUAGAAGAAAAUAUUUCUCUCUUUCAGGAAGCCCCAAGCCAUCUGAGUAUAUAAGAAGAGAAUUGAAGGGGAAUGAAGAGAAGGAAGGGGGAUGGGAAUAGGAACAACAGGGGACAUAACUUUCCUAUGUUCAUAUAUAAAUACUCCCCAGUGAACCUCAACAUCUUUACAUCCACAAGACUGGGAUCCUAAUUAGAAUAAGAUCUAUUCCAUGUUUGUAUAAAUAUAUCAAAAUAGAUCCUACUGUCAUGUAUAACUGAAAAGAACAACAAAAAUAAAAGCUAACAUAACAUCCAUGAUAACAAAAAGGUCUAAGGAGGCCCUUUAAAGAAGACAGGGGGAUGACUGCCUCUUUGAUCUUUAAUAAUUUUAAAACUUGUUUUCUCUUUCUUCACAUUUGGGUAGUUUGGCUACUUGUGUAGAACAACUGACCUUGCUCUCAUUAUAUCACCGAAAAUGUAAGACCUGGGGUGAGGACAAGGGUGGAA